AUUGAACGCUGGCGGCAGGCCUUACACAUGCAAGUCGAACGAGUGGCGGACGGGUGAGUACUGUCUGGGACCCUUCCCGAGGGAUGGGGAUAACUACUGGAAACUGUUGCUACUUCCGCCUACCAUCGGCUGUGCCCAGAUCGGAUUAGCUAGUAGGUGGGGUAACGGCUCACCUAGGCGACGAUCCCUAGCUGGUUUGAGAGGAUGACCAGCCACACUGGGACUGAGACACGGCCCAGACUCCUACGGGAGGCAGCAGUGGGGAAUAUUGGACAAUGGGCGAAAGCCUGAUUCAGCCAUGCCGCGUGUAUGAAGAAGGCCUUCGGGUUGUAAAGGACUUUCAGCGGGGAGGCGGUACCCGCAGAAGAAGCACCGGCUAACUCCGUGCCAGCAGCCGCGGUAAUAC
rnacentral:rRNA from 1 species